AUGGAGCCUGGCAUCUGUGUGUGUAAAAGACCGAGAGCCUGGAGUGGAGGAUAGCAUCCGGAUGAAAUAGUUCAAGUCCCUGUUCUGGCUCCUCCAGCUAUGUGACCCUGAGCAAGCAGUUUCUCCUCUCAGUUUUGCAGGUGUGCCACGACGGGCUUGGUCCUCCCUCUUCUGAGAUUUUGUGUGUCUAUAGCGGUAAGACUGGAGCCGGGCUCAGCUGCAGACUGAUGCACAGACAGCCACUUCCUACAGGGAAGGGAGACUGGGUGGUAAUCCAUAGGCAACAAUGAAACUGAAUGGGAAGAGUUCUGAUCCGGAGAAAGCAGGGCCUUGAACAUGCUAAGAAAGGCCUCUACCACUGAGCUCUAGAGCCCCAAACAAGCAGACUGCAGGCACCAGUAUUGGCAGGGGAAUCAUGGAAGGCACAUUGCUCCUGCCUGGAUCCUUGCCUCUUCCCUGCUCUGCAAAGAGGUGAAGAUGUUUUUUGCAGCCUCAUGGGAUUAAGAUCUAGGAUCUGAAGGGCCAGAGCUAACCUGGGAAGUAAAGGAGGCAUUACGGAGUUCUCAGAGCUCAAGACAUAUGGGGUAUAUAAGACCAGGCAAAGCGAGAAUGAUUACCUACUGAAGAGGACGUGGGGGAAUAUGAAAACAUUCCGGCAUGGGAGCCCUAUUUCUUCCACCUAUCACAUACCACCCAAUCCAUCUAUACCAGGCUGGGUAAGAGGGUGGGGCACCCGAGAACUGUCCUUUAGGAGCCAUGUGAUCUCAAAAUGUGCCUUGUUGUGAUGAUGCUCAGAGCAGGCUUUGUGGGUACAACAGCAGUUCUCCUGUGGGAUGAGGGCGUGGAGCCGUGCCCACCUCUGUUUCAGCCCAGCCCCUGGCUCCUUCCAACACUGGUCACUCCUGGUCUAGCACUUCACUCAUCCAAGGCCCCCUGGUGCCCUACUUCUGGGUGGUUCUGGUCUCUGUUCCCUCUGUUCCUAUUCUUGUACCAUACCCAAGCAGCUUCUCUCUCCUCCCAGGUUCUCCCUUGAAAAAAAUCUACUUACUAAAACUGAUGUUGAUGACAGGUCUCGGGGUCCAUUCAUGGACUGGUGCCUCUGUGUGGCUGCCCUGGGGAUUUUUCAUCUGUCUGUCUUAGUUCACUGUUCACAUGUCUAGUUUAGGCUUUUAUACCCACAGUGCAAGUAGGACCCUCAAGCCUAUGAGUUAGCCUGACCCCCCCUCCAAUCAACAAGGAUGCCAGGAAUUCAAGGGAGUUCUUGGUUGGUGGGGAAAUAGGAAUGAAUUUGAUCCUUCCGAACUCUGAGGUAGCAGAAAGACCAAGGGGCCUGGAAAUGUUCGCUUCUAUCUCUUCAGAACUGAUCCCAAAGAGGGACAAGCUGUGAUGUUUUUCAUAUUUUGGUCAGAAAUCUGGCUACUUGCCUUCUUCCCCUGCUGCCCUGAUCUGGGAACCAUUUUUUGGGGGAACACCUUCAGUUCCGUUUUAUGGUGUCAGGAGAAGACAGGAGCAGAACCACUUCUGAACAGCCACACAACAAAACGGGGGUGCCGGUUAGGGGAGGAGUCGUGUUGAGCAAGCAGUCUGGAGGGAACCAGAAAUGCAGCCUCCCCAUCACACUGUCCAGAUGUGCUCGUGAUGGAAAUGCCUUCACAGCCAAGUGCCCUCCCUUCAAGAAGAAAAUCCCACAACUGGGGAACAUCUGGAUCAAAACACUGCCAUGAAAGCACAACAUCAAACGAGGGUUUCCUAGCGACCCUGCCCACAGGCCCUGGUCCAAGAAAAAGCGCAGGUCUUCCUGCUUGAAGUUUUUAAGUGUCACAGAACUCCUCAAGUUUGCGAUCUGACCUGAUUCACCGGAGACAGAUGUCCCCAAUGAGCUUGCUUGGGUUUGAUUACCCCCAGCGGGAGAGGGUGUGUGUGACCCGAUCCUGGCCGUGCUAGGGCUGGGGAAACUUGGGAUUUAAAACUGUAUGGUGAGGGGCUCCAGCAGUCCAGGCAUGGGGCGGGAGAGCCACAGGACAGGUGGGCCUUUUGAAACGUGCCUACAUCAAAGGUUUUCGCAGGCUCCCUUCCCAGUUCUGGCGCCUCUGGGGGGUGGGUGGAGGGAGGAACGCGGUGAGUUCACCACAUAGCUGCACGUAGGGAGGCUGUGUGCCUGAGAACUUGUGGAGAAUGUGCAGAGGGAGGAGGGAAGCUUCUCCCCAGAGGGGAGGGAGGGCAAGGGGGUUUCUCAUUUCCCAAAUAGCCUCCCCGGGCCAAAGAAAAUGGGGCCAUAUGCUGUCUCCCUCCCUGUCUGCGCCUGGAGGAGAGCAGAAGGGGAGGGCUGCAUUCUUCCAGCGUGGGGGAGGAUGAAGCAGCUGCUGCAGGGAGGCGGGGAUUCCCACUCGGGUGGGAGCUGGGGAAGCAUGCACCUUCCACAAAGGUGGGAAAGAAGAGGACGGUAGGGCACGGAGAUUCUGGGAGCCAGUCGACUCUUCUAGGUGCCCCCACUCCAAACAUCUUGCAGGCGGGAGUGGUGCAUCUGGCUGGAAUCUUGCUUCAGAUUAAGUCAUUUGGCCUGAGUUUGAGUGAACUAAUCUAGUUAGUUGCAGACUCAGGACUGUAACCGUGGUUUAAGAAGCCAGGGAUUUAUUUUUGGGGUGGAGGAUAACCUUCAGUUGGGUAGAACAUGCGAGUCUGUGGGCGUACCCCUUCAGAAAGUCAGCUUCAAUGCUUUCUCCUCCCUCUCAGAGGUGCAGGUGUGUGCAGGCACCACACCCCCAUCCCUCAGGUUUCUAGUUUGGGGAUCUUCUCACAUUGCAUUACAAGAGAGCAUUGGUGAUUUCUCUUGCCAAAUAGGCAAUCAGUGCCAAGGCCACGUCUCCCCUUUGUUCCUAGCCAUGGGCAAUGCUACCCUGCAGCACUCGAACACCGUCCCUGAUGUACAUUCUGGAGAACAGAGAAAAAGCCAGGCAACAACUCCUUAGCAACCUAGGGCCUUGGAGGGAUUCUCUGCCUUCCAGGUCCCCAAGGCAGCAUCUUGGGGUCUUCUGGGAGGACCCCCUUGGACAGCCUUUUAGCCUGCUUCUGAAACUCAUUUCAAAACAUUCAUUUUCACCAUCUGGUUUUCUCUCUUAGUUGGGUCACAUAAGGCCAAAUGCUUGUUGGGUCCGCACUGCCGCUGGUCCGUGUAGUCCUACAUGAGGGAAGCACUGACAGGUGGGCUGACUGACUUUUCCAGAGUGCUCCAUCUUUUGACCAUGUCCUGGAUUUGCUCCUUGGAGUGUUCCAUUCUUUGAAAGAGUAGCUGUGGAUGUGCAUAAUAUUUCAGUGGGUAAAGACACUUGCCACCAAAUCUGAGUUCAAUCCCUGGGACCCAUGUGGCAUAAAGAGAACUAACUCCUGCAAGUUGUCUCCUGUCCUCCAUACAUGUACCAUGGCACACCCACCCACACCCACACAGAAAAAUAAAUGUUGAUUCUAAAGAUGGAGUCCUGUGGAGCUCUGUGACUAAGAUUCUGGGUCCUGCCAAGUCAGAGGUAUCCUGUCUUAUUUGGGUGACUUGGAAUUCUGUCCCAGUGAGAUGAGGGCACAGGGUUCUGCAAGCUGGGAGAACCAUGCCUGAGGGGUCAUUGUGAAGUCAGAGGGCAGUUUGAAAACAGCAUGGUGGCUGCAAGGUAGAGAAGGGAGGGGAUGUGCAGAGGGAAAGGCUUGAGGGACAGCCAAGAGGGAGAGCAGCUUGGCCUGUUGGUGAGGGUACCAGUGUGAUCCUGACGGACUGUUGUCUAGGCGCCUUGGGCAAGUCUCUUUACCCACAACAGGCAUUCCCCCUGCACCCGGUCCCACUCGCCUCUCCACCACCCACUGCCACUCCUCGCCCGACUGCAGGCCAAGCCUGACUGGUGUUCUGCAGCAUCACCCAACACUGAAUGUGGUGCUACCCUGCAUGCUGGAGGGAUCCUCCAGGGGCUCCCACUGCCUUUGAAGUGGACAGACCGAAGAUUGGUGAGCUGUAUGCUGAGCACAGAUCUCUCUGCUGUCAUUGUGGUGAGGAGGAUCUCCACUUUGAGCCCAUUUUGAGGGCCUGAGGUGUUGACACCUCAGUUAUCAAAACUCUUUUUUUUUUAAUCCUAGAGGGUGAGGCAGACAAGAUUGCUAAAUAUCUCAGGAUUGCUCAGCUCCAGAGACACCAAUGCCUGCACUCCCAGAGCACAACUCUAGGUGGCGCCAUUCACAUAGAAUUUCAUGUGUGGAUUCCCCCCCCACCCUAACCAGGGAAAUGUGGGUGGUGGGCUAUCUUAAAGCCCCUUUGAGAACUAGCAAUAUUUAAAUGAGACAGAGAUGGACAAAAUGAUGUUUAAAGUUAAGUGGUUGUGAGAAGGAGGCACCAGAAAAUGGAGCUGUACCCUGGAGCAGUGUGCAGUCUAAGAUUAGCAGGGAGCAGAAACGACAGAGCACAUCCAUCAGGAAAGAAAAAUGGUCUCUAAAAUCCCUAGAUGGCAAGCUGGCAGUGGUCACACAUGGAGUCUGCUGUUACCUCAGCACUUGGGAGGCUGAAGUAGUAGGGCCAUGAGUUCAAGGACAUCCCGGGGUACAAGAAACCCUGUCCUAGAGAAACAAAAUGACAAACAACAGUCCCUACAUGCAGGAAGAUAACUCACAGCUGAGCACCCACUGGGGUGUGGUACUUAGCUGGCACACAUCUAAUCUGAGGUGACUGGUAACCAGAGUUCUGCAUUCCAGGUCUGGGGUUCUUGAGGGCUGAGUGGCUUGGCCACACGGGUUAGUUACACUUGUGCCUGUGAAUGGGAAAUGGCUGAAAUCAGAAAUGGAAUCUUGGCCCAGAUGGGGGUCAGGAAUUUAUUUCCUUCCUUCUUCUCCUUCUUAGGAAAGCUUCGCUCAUUGUUUAAGAUGAAAAAUAACAACCAGAUGAAUGAAGGAAGGAUCAUUGGGAAUGAUAAGUAACACCCUCCAGAUGUGACCACUGAGCUGGGUAGGAUUGGUUGCCUGGAGCAGUCACAUUACAGCCGCACAGCCUUUCGAGACUCCUCUUCUGUAACAUCUUCAGGAUCUGUGACUCAGUUUUUAGAUUGCUGUUUGUGUUCUUUGCUUUUUAUCAAAUCACUGAAAUUUAUAAUGUAUGCUGAUUGAUUCAAAUAUUUUAUAAACUGACUAUAAAGUCAAUUAAAUAUACAUGCAUAUUA